CGCAUCUGUGCAUGCAGCAUAUCAAUAAGCGGAGGAAAAGAAACUAACAAGGAUUCCCUUAGUAACGGCGAGUGAAGCGGGAAGAGCUCAAAUUUGAAAUCUUCAAGGUUUACCUUGACGAAUUGUAGUUUAAAGAAGUGUUUUCUGCUGAAGUUUUGGUAAAAGUUCUUUGGAAUAGGACAUCAUAGAGGGUGAGAAUCCCGUAUUUGACCAUUAUUUUCAGCUUUGUGAUACACUUUCAAAGAGUCGGAUUGUUUGGGAAUGCAGUCCAAAAUGGGUGGUAAAUUUCAUCUAAAGCUAAAUAUUGGCGAGAGACCGAUAGCGAACAAGUACCGUGAGGGAAAGAUGAAAAGAACUUUGAAAAGAGAGUUAAACAGUACGUGAAAUUGUCAAAAGGGAAGCGUUUGACACCAGUGUUGUUUUCUCGAAAAUCAAUUAAAAAUGGCUCGAUUUUGUAUUGCUUGAGACCUUAAAAGCUCACUGUAGCAUUUUUCGUGUCUUUUUUAAUGCACUUUUCGUUUAACAAGUCAACAUCAGUUUCUUUUGUUGUAAAAGGGUCAUUGGAAGGUGGCUUUCUUUUCGGAGAAAGUGUUUAUAGCCUUUGGCCUCUGCAAUCGGAAGAGACUGAGGUCUGCAGCGUAGACUCUUCGGGGUUAGAUACAUUUGUGCUAAGUUAUAGCUUUUUAUAGACAACUUGUUGACUAUAAUUAGUCUUGUAGCUUACUCGCUUAUGCUAUUUUACCUACGCUUAGGAUGUUGACGCAUGAGAUAUACGC
rnacentral:rRNA from 1 species